rnacentral:tRNA from 1 species
AAAAGUUUAGUUAAAUUAUAACAUUAGAAUGUCAAACUAAAAUUAAUACAAAUAUUAACUUUUU